rnacentral:rRNA from 1 species
UCAUCUGGAAAGAUGAAUCAAAGAAGGUAAUAAUCCUGUAGUCGAAAAUGUUGUCUCUCUUGAGUGGAUCCUGAGUACGACGGAGCACGUGAAAUUCCGUCGGAAUCUGGGAGGACCAUCUCCUAAGGCUAAAUACUCUCUAGUGACCGAUAGUGAACCAGUACCGUGAGGGAAAGGUGAAAAGCACCCCGGAAGGGGAGUGAAAUAGAACCUGAAACCGUGUGCUUACAAGUAGUCAGAGCCCGUUAAUGGGUGAUGGCGUGCCUUUUGUAGAAUGAACCGGCGAGUUACGAUUUGAUGCAAGGUUAAGCAGUAAAUGUGGAGCCGUAGCGAAAGCGAGUCUGAAUAGGGCGUUUAGUAUUUGGUCGUAGACCCGAAACCAGGUGAUCUACCCUUGGUCAGGUUGAAGUUCAGGUAACACUGAAUGGAGGACCGAACCGACUUACGUUGAAAAGUGAGCGGAUGAACUGAGGGUAGCGGAGAAAUUCCAAUCGAACCUGGAGAUAGCUGGUUCUCUCCGAAAUAGCUUUAGGGCUAGCCUCAAGUGAUGAUUAUUGGAGGUAGAGCACUGUUUGGACGAGGGGCCCCUCUCGGGUUACCGAAUUCAGACAAACUCCGAAUGCCAAUUAAUUUAACUUGGGAGUCAGAACAUGGGUGAUAAGGUCCGUGUUCGAAAGGGAAACAGCCCAGACCACCAGCUAAGGUCCCAAAAUAUAUGUUAAGUGGAAAAGGAUGUGGCGUUGCCCAGACAACUAGGAUGUUGGCUUAGAAGCAGCCAUCAUUUAAAGAGUGCGUAAUAGCUCACUAGUCGAGUGACACUGCGCCGAAAAUGUACCGGGGCUAAACAUAUUACCGAAGCUGUGGAUUGUCCUUUGGACAAUGGUAGGAGAGCGUUCUAAGGGCGUUGAAGCAUGAUCGUAAGGACAUGUGGAGCGCUUAGAAGUGAGAAUGCCGGUGUGAGUAGCGAAAGACGGGUGAGAAUCCCGUCCACCGAUUGACUAAGGUUUCCAGAGGAAGGCUCGUCCGCUCUGGGUUAGUCGGGUCCUAAGCUGAGGCCGACAGGCGUAGGCGAUGGAUAACAGGUUGAUAUUCCUGU